CCUACGUGUGGCAGCAGUGGGGAAUCUUGGGCACUGGGCGCAAGCCUGACCCAGCAACGCCACGUUAAGGAAGAAAGCUUUCGGUUUGUAACCUUCUUGUUUCAGGGACGAAGCAAGCGAAGGUACCUUACGAAUAAGCCACGGCUAACUACUUUGCAGCAGCCGCGGUAAUACGGAGGGGGCAAGCGUUAUCCUGAUUUACUGGGUGUAAAGGGCGUGUAGGUGGGGAGGCAAGUCAGAUGUGAAAACCACGGGCUCAGCCUGUGGCCUGUAUUUGAAACUGUGUUUCUUGAGGGCUGGAGAGGAAAGCGGAAUUCCGUGUGUAGCGGUGAAAUGCGUAGAUAUACGGAGGAACACCAGUGGCGAAGGCGGAUUGCUGGACAGUAACUGACGCUGAGGCGCGAAAGCGUGGGGAGCAAACAGGAUUAGAUACCCUUGUAGUC
rnacentral:rRNA from 1 species